AUGCUCAAAAUUCUCCAAGCCAGGCUUCAGCAAUGCAUGAACUGUGAACUCCCUGAUGUUCAAGCUGGUUUUAGAAAAGGCAGAGAAACCAGAGAUCAAAUUGCCAACAUCUGCUGGAUCAUCAAAAAAGCAAGAGAUUUCCAGAAAAACAUCUAUUUCUGCUUUAUUGACUAUGCCAAAGCCUUUGACUAUGUGGAUCACAAGAAACUGUGGAAAAUUCUGAAAGAGAUGGGAAUACCAGACCAUCUAACGUGCCUCUUGAGAAAUCUGUAUGCAGGUCAGGAAGCACCAGUUAGGACUGGACAUGGAACAACAGACUGGUUCCAAAUAGGAAAAGGAGUAUGUCAAGGCUGUAUAUUGUCACCCUGCUUAUUUAACUUUUAUGCAGAGUACAUCAUGAGAAAUGCUGGAUUGGAAGAAACACAAGCUGGAAUCAAGAUUGCCGGGAGAAAUAUCAAUCACCUCAGAUAUGCAGAUGAUACCACCCUUAUGGCAGAAAGUGAAGAGGAACUAAAAACCCUCUUGAUGAAAGUGAAAGAGGAGAGUAAAAAAGUUGGCUUAAAGCUCAACAUUCAGAAUACUAAGAUCACGGCAUCUGGUCCCAUCACUUCAUGGGAAAUAGAUGGGGAAACAGUGGAAAUAGUGUCAGACUUCAUUUUUGGGGGCUCCAAAAUCACUGCAGGUGGUGAUUGCACCCGUGAAAUUAAAAGAUGCUUACUCCUUGGAAGAAAAGUUAUGACCAACCUAGAUAGCAUAUUCAAAAGCAGGGAUAUUACAUUGCCGACGAAGGUCUGUCUAGUUAAGGCUAUGGUUUUUCCUGUGGUCAUUUAUGGAUGUGAGAGUUGGACUGUGAAGAAGGCUGAGCGCAGAAGAAAUGAUGCUUUUGAAGUGUGGUGUUGGAGAAGACUCUUGAGAGUCCCUUGGACUGCAAGGAGAUCCAACCAGUCCAUUCUGAAGGAGAUCAACCCUGGGAUUUCUUUGGAAGGAAUGAUGCUAAAGCUGAAACUCCAGUACUUUGGCCACCUCAUGAGAAGAGUUGACUCAUUGGAAAAAACUCUGAUGCAGGGAGGGAUUGGGGGCAGGAAGAGAAGGGGACGACAGAGGAUAAGAUGGCUGGAUGACAUCACGGACUCGAUGGACAUGAGUUUGAGUGACCUCCGGGAGUUGGUGAUGGACAGGGAGGCCUGGUGUGCUGCGAUUCAUGGGGUUGCAAAGAGUCGGACGCGACUGAGCGACUGA
rnacentral:lncRNA from 1 species